CAGUCUUAGCUGUGGCAAUGCUGAUUGUGAUGGCAUCACUUGUUUGCUAUUUCAAACGCAGGAAAGCUGGCAGACAGGCUGGUGUGUUGCGAGGAAACGGUCUACAUCACGAUUCUCUGCGACUCGAAGCCGGCUCAAGAAACAAUUAUACUUCACUGAAAUGACUCUUCCAGGAACAUCGAAGCGAUGACCCACUGCAGUCCCCCAGUUACCGCUUCAUAAUGGAUUUACAUUGUGACUGGUGGACACAAGAGUAACAAUGACGCUUCCUGUUCAAAGUUCCUUAUUUCUAAUUGUUUGAUAUUAAUGAAGCAUUAAAUACGCAAGUUGCUGUGU